CCUCCAGUAGGAUCCUUUAGCAGUCCAUUGCGACUUCGAACUCCACCAAAUGGAUGUUAAGGCUGCAUUUCAAAAUGGGGAGCUAGAAAAAGAAAUUUACAUGAAACAACUAGAGGGCUUAAUAGAAAAGGGAAAAGAAAGCCUAAUAUGUAAACUUGAGAAAUCCCUUUACGGCCUUAAAGAAGCAUCAAGGAAUUGAUAUGUUAAUUUUUAAAAGACCUUAUUGAAAGUUGGCUUUGUGCCUAACCAGGAGAAUUAUGUCAAGGUCAGUAGAAGUGAUGUUGUAUUUAUCUACUUGUAUGUGGAUGGCAUGUUAUUUGCCAGUAAUUCGAUGAGUAUCGUAUUGGAAACAAAACCUUUAUUCUCAUAAGAUUUCGAUAUGAAAGAUAUUCGAGAGGCAUCAUAUAUUUUGGGAAUCAAGAUCCCUAGAAAUAGGAGAGAGAGAACAUUUAGUUAUCUCAAGAGACCACUAUCAGAAAAUACUGGAAAUAUUUGAAAUGAAUAAUUGUCGGCCCAUAUUAACCCCCCAUUGAUGGCAAGACCAAGUUAAAUCUAUACUUGUGUCCCAUAAGUUCAUAAGAAAAAGAGGACAUGCAAAGAAUUCUGUACAGAAGUGUAGUUGGGUCAUUAAUGUAAGCUAUCUUAGGGACAAGACCAGACUUAUCAGUUGUAAUGAGUGUGAUUAGCAGGUUCCAGAGUAUUUUGGGCAUGGACCACUAGAAGGUAAUUUAAAAGGUUCUGUGAAAUUCAAAGGGAAUGAUUCUUCAUAUAUUCAGACAAAGACUAUCAGGGCGAUCUAGAUGAGAUGAAGUCCACAUCUGGGGUGUAUCUUCAUACAUGCCAAUGGAGCUGUUUGCUAGUAAUCUAAGAAACAAGAUGUUGUUGCACUCUUGACUAUGGAAUCAAAGUAUGUAGCUUGUUGUAUAGUAGAAAAAGAAGCAGUUUGGUUGAAGAAGUGAUCUAAUAAAGCGCCCAUUUGUAAGAAUCACCUUAGAUUUGAUCUAAUAAAGCGCCCAUGUGUAAGAAUCAUCAGUGACAACCAGGCGGCGGUUUGUGUGGCCAAAGAUCCAUAAUUUCUUAAGAAAUCAAGGCAUAUUAAGGCAGACUACUACGACAUUCACUACGAGAUCCUAGCAGGAGAGAUCGAGGUUGUUUAUCCCCUGACAGAGGCUUCGUUAAAGAUCGUUUGACAAAAGGAUUGGUGGCAAAUGUAUUUGCCAAGCAUGUACAUGGGAUGGGCUUGAAAGAGAUUCAGAGGGAGUGAUUGCAUAGCGUUUAAAGGCUAAGUCGGAGAUGUUGGGGUUUUGUGGCCUUUAGACUGCGAAAGCUUGUAAAAAGUGGAUUGUACACUUUUGUGAGAGUGUGUAUUGGUUGAGUGACCAAGGGUUUGGUGGUGUAUGCCCAUGGUCAUAUCUAAAACCCUAGCCCUUUGUGCAUGGGGCACUACCGAAAAGGGUUUACAGAGGGACAUCCCUUGUUGAGGUUGGAGAGAUACCCAAGGAUGGAUUGUAGGCCAGGAGAGCUGUGUGGUCUCCAUUGUGUAGAUGUAGGUUUGUGAGAGCGAGGGCUAAAUCCUCAAUAAACUUCCGCACGAUAUGUACACAUGUCAGCCACUCUACCUCGAAGCAACCCUAAAAAGGGGAUACAUAUACAUGUUCAUGAAGAGUCCUUUUUGCACUAUAGUAAUAUAUGCUUGAUUUGCUCUUAAGGGGGGAACAUGUAAUCCAUAUUUCUGAACUAUGGUUCUACUGUUUGUUGGGCAGCUUUGAUGAGCCAAUCAUGAACCCCUAUAUGAGACUGUGGGUCAUGGGUCUCGUUGGGUUGGUUUGAGAAGGCAGUCUUGGAUCAUAGUUCUUGGGUCAAGUGGAAUGCCCUGAUAGUCACUUAUCUUGACCCACUAGUACCAACCCAGUUCUAGGUAUUUUAUUUUCAAUGUUAAAAAUAUGUUCGUGAACUUUAGAAGUUUUUCGCAAGUUUUGAAAUUAAUUCCAGCAGUUAAAUACUGAAAAGGGUGUUUCUAAAAUUUUAAUUAUGUGGAGGGGAACAUGGGGGGCCCUUGGAUCUAGCCCCACAUGUGUACAACAACCCAUGGGUGGGGCAUGGUGCCACACCUCACACAUGAGGUGGCACGCCCCCCUCUGUAUUUUUUUCAUAUUAUUUUUUGUUUAAAAAUAUUGGGUAGUUAAAUGAAAUAACUUCUGAAAGGUUAUUGUGUCCUUAUUUUGUGGGAGGUGGUUUUUGAUAACUUGUUUGACCAAAAUAUUUUAUUGUUAGACUUCGUACAAUUUGAAAAGAGAUAAAAGGAGGUUCUAGAAGGUUAUGGAUUGUUCUUAUCUAGACUGACUAGAAGUGGAUAUGGGUCACAUAUUCAAGGGAUAAGGUUAUUAAUAUUCCUCCCUAAAUAAUGAUAGUUGAUUUAUGUGAUGGAUGAGUCAAAUUUAAUUCUUAGGGAUAAGGUUCGUAAUAUUCCUCCUUAAAUCAUGAUAGCUGAUUUAUGAGAUGCAUGAGUCAAACUUAAUUCUCUCUCGCAUCACAGAUUUCCUAAAAUCCUAGUGGUUCUGACGAGUCAUAAUUGGAGAAGUAAUACCGGAAGGGGGGGGGGGGGGGGGGGUUGAGGCCUAUGUAAGGAGGGGAUCCCCUUCAUUCUCUACACAAUUCCCAAGCCUCUAUCUCUCUUGAUUUCUCUCUCCCCCAGAUCCCACUCUCCUCUUUCAUCUCAUCUCUCUUGCUCUCUCUCUGCUCUGUCUCUAGGUGGCAAGCCACCCAUAAGAACAAGGGGGCGGUACGCAUGUCCAGUCCUAGAAAAGGGUGGUGUCUUGUGGCAUAUGCCUUAAUUGUUUUAAAAGGGGUGCCAUUAAACCCUAAAUGUAUUUUAUGCUCUCUAAAACCUAGUUUGAGAGUUAUUACCCAAGGAAGAUUCCUAGCUCACUAAAUUCAGCAAGACCGAUAGGAUUAGAGUGCGCCAUCAGUAAGAAAAUUGGGUGUGUGGUGUACUAAAUUCUAUGGGGGUGACCCUAGGCAUAUUCGAUCAAGUCUUCCCAGCGGUUAGCUUUUAUUUUUCAUUCAUAUUUGCAUAUUUUCUUGAAUUCUCAGGAACAUUAUUUGUACCAAAUUUGUUAAUGGAAAUUUGGUAUUCAUUCCUAGAUUGUGUCUAUUCAAUUUGGCAAAAAAGCAAAGGUCCUAGGUUGCAUUUAGGGUUUUAAUUGUCAUUUAAAACAGUGUAUUGUGGCACUUGUAAGUGGAAUUCAAAGUUAUUUUCAUUGCCUUGAGUUUCACAUUGCUACUUCUUUAGGAACCUCAAAUAUUGAGAUUUGAUCAUGAAUUUAUACUUGACUAGCUAGGAACAAAAUAGUGAAUACCAAUCAUAAUUAGUGUCAGAAAAAUAAAGUAGAAAGCCCAAAAACCUUAAGAAGACACAAGACACUUAGUUCAGCUCAUAGCGACUGCGUCUGAAGGCAUGAAAAAUAAGAUUGUGAGAGUUACAUCACUAAUCUUGGGGCAUAAAAGUAACUUUCUACUCCUUCCCUGUCCAACAUCCAUUUUAAACAACUCUCCCAAGCAGCCACACCACCGAUUACUCAUCUCUUUCGUACUGCUAAACAGCUACCUUUGAGUACUAGACAUCGAGGCAUGGGCAAUGAGAAAUUAACUUUUUUUAAAAGGAGAUACGGUCCAAAACCUCAUUGGGAAAUUCUUCUCUACAAGAAAGCAGUAUGUCUCGCAACUAGAGUCACCAUCACAUUGUUUCUAUCCAUCUGAAGCUGCGCUUGUCUCUUUUUUGAAUGCCCCACCUUUAUGCAAGUAACCCCUACCUCUCUAUUGGAAACCCCCCUUUCCCACUUGGUGAUCUCAACUAGAGCACACAUUUCUUCUCUCAUCUCUUAUUUGUAUGGAAACAAUCUGAAGGGAUGCACGUUGAAACUAGAGAGGAUACACGCCAUCUCUAGGUUCCCAAUGUGAUGGGAUCUAGCUUAUUAAAAAUAAUCAAACCAAAUCCCUUUCAAUAAGGUAGUUCUUGGAAGCGGUGGUUUUGUCUAUCACUGCCUCCAACAACCUCCACCUUGAUCAAAAUCACCAUCUCCUUCCUAUUGCUAAGCUAUUGAGCACAAGUUGUUAGAGAUGCGAUAAGAAUGAGAAGCUUACUCUCUCAUAAAGGGUUACUGCCCCGAAUAUCUCUAAGUAGGAGGUACUAGCACACUGCUUUUCUCCAUAGGAGACACUUCUUUUUCUCUACCGGCCCUGCCUCUAUGUGUUGGAUGCCCCUCUCUCUCCCUAGAAUGCACGUUUAUAUAUAUAUAUAUGUGUGUGAGAGAAAGAGAGAGAGAAAGAGAGGAAGAGAGAGAUUUGGAGGAGCCACCCAUGAAACUCCCCUUUCUCAGCAAAUCUGUAGGACACUCGCCUUUGAAAAGACGGACCUCACCUCGCCUGAAAAAUGGCAAUCAUUUCCCAUUUGGCCUUUUCUAAUCGAAAGAGGGGCAAAUUGGUUAUUGCCCCUCUAGAAAGCCCCAAGUGACGGGGAAUAAAGGCAUGCUAUUGUGUAGUAUGAUGAUAGCUUGAAAUGUCUAAAUUUAGUUAAUUAUAAAACAUACUAUAUAUAAUUUAGUGAGCAAUAGAAAGUUUUAAUAAUGAUGAAUUUUAAUAGGAGUCAAUUGUAGUGCUUCCUUAAAAUAAAUUUUGUAGUUCCUUUUGUAAGGAGAUGGCUUGAAACAAUUCAGUUCUUUGAUCAUAAAGAUGAAUUCAAACAAUUUACUUAUUUGAUUCAGGAGAUUUUAUUAUGUCAGAGUGCUACUCACAGUAUUUGGAUUUCUUGGAGGUUUCCUAGAGCUCUUAAUAUUUCCCCCAUCAAUUCAUAGCCUUGAAGGUUCCUGCAAAAUGAUUAAAUGGUUAAGACCCUGGUUGGUGUUUUGGCUUUGUUUGAGGGGCCUAUAUCCAAAUUUGGGAUUUUGGAUUAGAAUCCAUGGAAACUUAUCUAUUUAUACUAAAAAAUAUAAAUUUACAAACUCAGAUGAUAUGGACCUUACUUUAUAGACAGAAUUGAGUCAAAUUUCAUAUUCAAAUCUAGAGAGCAUGCCCACACAUAUAAGCACAUGGAGGGGACAGAGUAAUACAGGAAUCAUGCUAACCAUAUGAUCGAUGUGACCAUCUACCCAUUCAGAUCGACCAAUGAGCCACUCUUAUGGCAUGUUCCUUUCUUUUCACUGGAUUGUCAAUUUUGUUAAUCUCUUCCAAGUUUUUUUCUUUUUUUUUUGGAUAGAUCUUACAUCUAAAUAAAG
rnacentral:lncRNA from 1 species